AUGAGCCAUCACCUCGCCUCCACCACCGCCGCCGCUAGCUCGUCUCCCAGCCGCCGGCCGAGCUUAACCUCAUUCCCGUCGCCGCUCCACCGACCAAGCGCGCUGUUCCAGCAGACUAACUUCGUUGCCACUCGUACAGAGAGGAAGCCCGCACCUUCAGUGGCCGCCGCAGCGGCGUCGCCGGUAUCACCCCUGCACAGGCUCGAGGAAAUGAGUGACCAUGAGGCAAUCCCCGAAAGGCUCGCUGUGGUUACUGGUGGAAACAGAGGGAUCGGCAUAGAGGUGUGCCGCCAGCUUGCUCUCCAAGGUGUGACGGUCAUUCUCACAGCAAGGGAUGAGGAAAGAGGAAAGGCUGCGGUUGAGUCCCUUUGCCGUGAAUCUAACCUCUCCAACAUAAUCUUCCAUCAGCUCGAUAUACUGGAUGCUGGUAGUCGUGCCUCAUUAGCGCGACAUAUCGAGACCAGAUAUGGGAAGCUCGACAUUUUGGUGAACAAUGCAGGUGUUGGAGGGGUGGCAGUAGACCAGGAAGGCCUGAGAGCUCUCAACAUUGAUCCUAAGAUGUGGCUAUCGGGGAAAGCAGCCCAUCUGGUCGAAUCGGUGAUUAUACAAACAUAUGACGAGGCAGUAAAAUGUCUUAACACCAACUACUAUGGACUGAAAUGGGCAACAGAAGCUCUCCUUCCGCUACUGAAGAAAUCCACAUCAGGAGCAAGGAUCAUCAACACCUCCUCCCUUCGUUCAGAGCUGCAGAGAAUGCCGAAUGAGAAGCUGCGGGAGUCCCUGCGUGACGCCGACAGCUGGGACGAGGCGCGGAUUGAGGCCAUGCUGAGCGAGUUCCUGGAGGACAUGAAGAACGGGCGGCUGGAGGCGGCCGGGUGGCCGAUGAUGCUGCCGGCCUACAGCAUGUCCAAGAUGGUGGUGAACCUCUACACCCGUAUCCUGGCGAGGCGGCACCCAGAGAUGCGCAUCAACUGCGUGCACCCUGGGUUCGUCAAGACGGAGAUCAACUGGAACACGGGGGUCCUCCCGCCGGAGGAAGGCGCGAGGGGCGCGGUGAUGCUGGCGCUGGCGCCCGGCGACGGGCCCACUGGCUGCUACUUCGAUCAGACGAAGAUGGGGGAGGCUUGGUGA
rnacentral:rRNA from 1 species